rnacentral:rRNA from 1 species
UACGGAGGGUGCAAGCGUUAUCCGGAUUCACUGGGUUUAAAGGGUGCGUAGGUGGGGCGGUAAGUCAGUGGUGAAAUCUCCGAGCUUAACUUGGAAACUGCCAUUGAUACUAUCACUCUUGAAUAUUGUGGAGGUCAGCGGAAUAUGUCAUGUAGCGGAUGAAAUGCUUAGAUAUGACAUAGAACACCAAAUUGCGAAGCAGCUCGCUACACAUAUAUUGACUCUGAGGCACGAAAGCGUGGGGAUCAAACAGG